UCUGGUUGAUCCUGCCAGUAGUCAUAUGCUUGUCUCAAAGAUUAAGCCAUGCAUGUCUAAGUAUAAAUAGUAUACAGUGAAACUGCGAAUGGCUCAUUAAAACAGUUAUAGUUUAUUUGAUAAUUGAAAAUUACAUGGAUAACCGUGGUAAUUCUAGAGCUAAUACAUGCUUAAAGGCCCGACUUUUUGGAAGGGUUGUAUUUAUUAGACUGAAGCCAAUAUUCUUUGUGUCUAUUGUGGUGAUUCAUAAUAACUGAUCGAAUCUCUUAUUGAGAUAAAUCAUUCAAGUUUCUGCCCUAUCAGCUUUCGAUGGUAGUGUAUUGGACUACCAUGGCAGUAACGGGUAACGAAGAAUUAGGGUUCGAUUUCGGAGAGGGAGCAUGAGAAACGGCUACCACAUCUAAGGAAGGCAGCAGGCGCGUAAAUUACCCAAUCCUGACUCAGGGAGGUAGUGACAAGAAAUAGCAAACUGGGGACCUCACGGUCUCACGGUAUUGCAAUGAGAACAAUUUAAAACACUUAGCGAGGAUCAAGUGGAGGACAAGUCUGGUGCCAGCACCCGCGGUAAUUCCAGCUCCACUAGCGUAUAUUAAAGUUGUUGCAGUUAAAAAGCUCGUAGUUGAACCUCUGUCUGGGGCUGAUUUUGGCUUAGGUCAGGUUAGUUCUAGGCAUCCGCCUACAAGACUUAGAGGGCAUUUACUUGUUCACUAGGAGGAGUAGGCAUUUUACUUUGAAAAAAUUAGAGUGUUUAAGGCAGGCAAUAGCUCGCAUAUAUUAGCAUGGAAUAAUAGAAUAGGACACUUUUCCAUUUCGUUGGUUAUUGGAAUUGUGUAAUGAUUAAUAGGGACAGUUGUGGGCAUUUGUAUUUAAUUGUCAGAGGUGAAAUUCUUGGAUUUAUUAAAGACAAACUAACGCGAAAGCAUUUGCCAAGGAUGUUUUCAUUAAUCAAGAACGAAAGUUAGGGGAUCAAAGACGAUCAGAUACCGUCCUAGUCUUAACUAUAAACUAUUCCGACUCAAUGUUUGACUGGCUUAUAUAACCAGUUGAGCGUUGUAUGAGAAAUCAAAGUCUUUAGGUUCUGGGGGGAGUAUGGUUGCAAAGCUGAAACUUAAAGGAAUUGACGGAAGAGCACAACCAGGAGUGGAUUCUGCGGCUUAAUUUGACUCAACACGGGGAAACUUACCAGGUUAAAACAAUAGUGGGAUUGACAGUUUGAGAGCGCUUUCUUGAUUUGUUGGGUGGUGGUGCAUGGCCGUUCUUAGUUGGUGGAGUGAUUUGUCUGCUUAAUUGCGUUAACGAACGAGACCUUAACCUGCUUACUAGACUAAUGAUC
rnacentral:rRNA from 1 species